CUUACAGAGAUCUUUGGCAUUCUGUCCACCUCCUCUCUUUAUCUUUAUGUGUAUAAGUGUACAUAUCUACGUUGUGUUUUUGUGAGGGGAGGUGGGCAUACUGCCAGUAGAGAUCUGUUAG